AGGCAAAUUGGGCCGGACAGAAGGGAGCUUUGUUCCCGGAUGUUAGCGGCGGACGGGUGAGUAACACGUGGGUAACCUGCCUGUAAGACUGGGAUAACUCCGGGAAACCGGAGCUAAUACCGGAUAGUUCCUUGAACCGCAUGGUUCAAGGAUGAAAGACGGUUUCGGCUGUCACUUACAGAUGGACUCGCGGCGCAUUAGCUAGUUGGUGAGGUAACGGCUCACCAAGGCGACGAUGCGUAGCCGACCUGAGAGGGUGAUCGGCCACACUGGGACUGAGACACGGCCCAGACUCCUACGGGAGGCAGCAGUAGGGAAUCUUCCGCAAUGGACGAAAGUCUGACGGAGCAACGCCGCGUGAGUGAUGAAGGUUUUCGGAUCGUAAAGCUCUGUUGUUAGGGAAGAACAAGUGCAAGAGUAACUGCUUGCACCUUGACGGUACCUAACCAGAAAGCCACGGCUAACUACGUGCCAGCAGCCGCGGUAAUACGUAGGUGGCAAGCGUUGUCCGGAAUUAUUGGGCGUAAAGGGCUCGCAGGCGGUUUCUUAAGUCUGAUGUGAAAGCCCCCGGCUCAACCGGGGAGGGUCAUUGGAAACUGGGAAACUUGAGUGCAGAAGAGGAGAGUGGAAUUCCACGUGUAGCGGUGAAAUGCGUAGAGAUGUGGAGGAACACCAGUGGCGAAGGCGACUCUCUGGUCUGUAACUGACGCUGAGGAGCGAAAGCGUGGGGAGCGAACAGGAUUAGAUACCCUGGUAGUCCACGCCGUAAAC
rnacentral:rRNA from 1 species